AUUGAACGCUGGCGGCAGGCCUUACACAUGCACGUCUAACGAGUGGCGGACGGGUGAGUAAUGUCUGGGAAACUGCCUGAUGGAGGGGGAUAACUACUGGACACGGUAGCUAAUACCGCAUACCAUCGGAUGUGCCCAGAUGGGAUUAGCUAGUAGGUGGGGGAAAGGAUCACAUAGGCGACGAUCCCUAGCUGGUCUGAGAGGAUGACCAGCCACACUGGAACUGAGACACGGUCCAGACUCCAACGGGAGGCAGCAGUGGGGAAGAUUGCACAAUGGGCGCAAGCCGGAUGCAGCCAGGCCGCGUGGAUGAAGAAGGCCUUCGGGUUGUAAAGUACUUUCAGCGGGGAGGCGUUACCCGCAGAAGAAGCACCGGCUAACUCCGUGCGAGCAGCCGCGGUAAUAC
rnacentral:rRNA from 1 species